UCCUGUCCUCGUGUCUUUCAGAUUCACGCAAACUGUCGCAUCAGGAGGGUGUAUUUCUCUGACCGGCUGUACUCUGAGGACGAGCUCCCCGCUGAAUUUAAACUCUAUUUACCAGUACAAAACAAAGCAAAGCAGUGACACAGCAGAUGGGAUUCCUCUCUUUCUUUUAUCUACACACGUUCAUAUAGGAUGGAUUUCUAGUGGCACUGUCUUUUUGUUGUUUUUCGGAUCUAUGUGAUUGGUUUCCAUCUGCUGAAUAAAUAUUUUAUAUGCACAAAGUGAA